UGAUGGCAAAUGAUGAAUCUUGAUGUUAAAUGGGUAAUUUGCAUCUGAGGUUUUAAUUUCCAUUGAUGCUACCACUUUGGAAUUCUGAUGCCUUUU